UACGUAGGGUGCAAGCGUUAAUCGGAAUUACUGGGCGUAAAGAGUGCGUAGGCGGCUAUGUAAGACAGAUGUGAAAUCCCUGGGCUUAACCUAGGAACUGCAUUUGUGACUGCAUGGCUAGAGUGUGGUAGAGGGAGAUGGAAUUCCGCAUGUAGCAGUGAAAUGCGUAGAUAUCAGGAGGAAUACCGAUGGCGAAGGCAGGUCUCUGGGCUGACACUGACGCUCAUGCACGAAAGCGUGGGGAGCAAACAGG
rnacentral:rRNA from 1 species